GUUUAUCCGUUUGAUUAUUAGAAGCGCAGACAUGGCACGCACACUCGCCCGCUCGCUCGGUAACGUCGUCUGGAAACGUGAACACCUGCGAAGAGGGGCGGAGAGAAAACGUGAGCUCAUUUGAAUGCAGACAAAGAACGGACUUGUCCUGAGAGCUGAAACUGGGUUUCAUCAAACGGCGCUGGAAAUCCUCUCUGGUGUCAUUUUCACACGUAUUAAGAGCUUAAACAGCUGGCACGCGCGUUACACGCCAACGUUACACCCCAACUAUUUACUGAAAAAUAAUUAUAGUAUUCAAAAUGAGGAAACGAGCAGAAACUGACAGUACUACUCUUUUUUUUUUUUAUUGUAUUAGUUAUUUAAAAAGAAAUGAAUAAUAUUUUUCAUAGUCCCCCCCCCAGUGAUUCAGUGAUGGAUCAUAUAACCCUGAAAUCAUUUCCAAAAAAUUUGGGACACUGUAAAAUUAGUGCCUAUGGAAUGUACAGCUUGCACAUCUGGAAAGGCAUCAGUUGAAUAACAACUUUUUUUGGACUAAAAUAAUGACGAUUCGCUUUUCUGAGACAUCACUGACAUUAUUAUUAUUAUUAUUAUUAUUAUUAUUAUUA